ACACCCUAUAUAAGCCAUAGAAAGUAUUAUGCAGGUGAGGACAAUAUUUUGGGCUCAGCUUCAAAUUAUAUUAAUCAAACCAACCUCUAGAUUUGACCAUAAAUAUACAAUGAUGAUCCAUAUAUUAUCUAUCAAUCACCCAUGAGCACUUUACGAACUUUACCAAACAUAAUCUACCGUAUACACGAAAAAGACUCCCAC
rnacentral:lncRNA from 1 species